rnacentral:rRNA from 1 species
GGAGGCAGCAGUCGGGAAUUUUGGGCAAUGGGCGAAAGCCUGACCCAGCAACGCCGCGUGAAGGAUGAAAUCCCUCGGGAUGUAAACUUCGCAAGAACGGGAAGAAUAAGUCGGUGCUAACACCAUCGGCGAUGACGGUACCGUUUGUAAGCUCCGGCUAACUCCGUGCCAGCAGCCGCGGUAAUACGGGGGGAGCAAGCGUUGUUCGGAUUUACUGGGCGUAAAGGGCGCGUAGGCGGCCACCGCAAGUCGACUGUGAAAUCUCCGGGCUUAACCCGGAAAGGUCAGCCGAUACUGCGGGGCUAGAGUGCAGAAGGGGCAACUGGAAUUCUCGGUGUAGCGGUGAAAUGCGUAGAUAUCGAUAGGAACACCUGCGGCGAAGGCGGGUUGUUGGGCUGACACUGACGCUGAGGCGCGAAAGCGUGGGGAGCGAACCGGAUUAGAUACCCGGGUAGUCCACGCCGUAAACGAUGGGCACUAGGUGUAGGGGGGAUUGACCCCCUUCGUGCCGAAGCUAACGCAAUAAGUGCCCCGCCUGGGGAGUACGGUCGCAAGGCUGAAACUUAAAGGAAUUGACG